AUUUGUGCACAUGCCUAUCGCGCUCCUCCGCGCCAGCAGCCACAUACAGUAUCUGUCAGAUGCGGUUGCGCGCUUCACCCGAACAAAGCCUGAAAACACUCCAUCCCAUGCUGUAAAGGUUGUGGAGGGGACUCGCUCUGCUUCUCUCCUGCGCUGUUUUCUCUCAUUUUGGAUAAGAGGAUUGUUUGUAUCGGCAUCUCAAGAUGAACCAAACGGCCACCGUAUCGCAUCAGGUGAAAUGCCAAUCUACAAAGACCAUUAAGGUAAGAAUUAAAAACGCCUUUUUCGUCCUCGCUGUGGUGAACUUCUUGGUGAGAAACUUCAGGGAUGCGCAUUGACGCACAGCGCUUUUGGAGAUGUUUGGCGACAUGCAUGUCAGCAGUGUGCGUCUAAACCUGUGAUGACUCCUGCGUGCACAAUGUUGAAUUUGGACUUUAAAACAGAGAGGAACCCGGACUCCUCUGGCUGUGUUUGUGUGAAUGUGUUUGAUGAGGAGCUUCAAAUUGGCGCAGUGUCGAGAUUUUAUUCAUCUCACGUCUUUGUCCUCAUUAUUAUAUUAGCCUCACCUGAACGUGCUGACAGGGAACGAAGCGGCGCACAAUCUGUAUUAUUAGUGCCUUGAGUUUGCGCAUCAGUUGCUUAACUUUAGCCUUGCGUGGUCUCGAGAGAUCCGCCUGAUUUAGACCUGUUGUAUAGGGACCAGAUCAGAGGAUCAGCGGGGAGCAUGUUUGUUUUCAGGGGACUUGAACCAGUGAGGGGACAGGUGGUGAGUCCUGCUCCAAGUCACGAUCGAGGAAGGUCUUUGCAGCAUCCGCAUCGUCUCCUCAUGGUGCUCCCAAAACCUGCUCAGAGGAAGUGUGAAUUAUCGUAGGUGUGUAUGUGUGUGUGUGUGUGUGUGCACAAGCUUUUUUUCCCCCCACAUGCAGUUACCUUUAUGUGUGUGCGUGUGUGCGUGUGACUCAACAGCCGUAUCGAUUUAGCCGCGGGUUCUGCAUCACUUUUCAACCUCCAAGUCUCACCAGAGAAAUUCAGCUUGGGGCAAAAACGUAUCGAUCCUCUCCUCAAGCAUCCCAAAAGACGAACACAUGUGGAAUACCAGGCUGAGUGUUUGGGUUUAAUAGAGUUUAAGUUUGGAUGAAAGAUGUGAGGAAAGAUAGGGGGAAAAAAAGGUGCAAUCACAGUCAGGAGCAGAAAUUAUUUUAUUGAUCCCUUGGGGAGGAAGAGGAGGAGGAGGAGGGAAGCUGGGUCACAUUACUCUCAGGGAAACAAUGAGGAGAACAGAAAAAAAACAACAACCAGAAAGUAGAAAUACUGAAAAAUAUGCUUUGAGUCAUACAUUAAAUAAAAUAUGCUUUAAAAAAUAUUAAAAUGCACAUAUUUUAAUGCAGUUAAUGCAAUUUAAGGUUGGAAAAAAAUCUGAAAUUUGCACAAUAACUGAAAAUAAUCACAACAACGACACAUAACAGUGAUUUUUAUCUUAAAAUCAAUCAUAAAUGUUAAUCAACUUUAUAUCAGCUUAAAUCUAACAAUAUGUCACAUAAUGGAACUAUUAUAGACUGUGCACAUUUAUAAUAAGUAGGGAUGGGAAUCGAGAACCGGUUCCAAAUGGUUCAAUCCGUCAACAUCGUUUACAUUUAUGUUAACGAUUCCUUUCUUCCGGAUGCCUUAAAAAAACGGUCUACGCGAACGAGGAAAAAAACAUGGCGGACAGUACGAAAAGUAGGCAGAAACGAUCUAAAGUUGGCUUCGUUGUACUACGAAAGACGAAAACAGCGCAAACGUGCAAUGUUUGUCGAGCAGUGAUUACAUCCAAAGGUGGAAACACCAGCAACCUGCUUCAACAUUAGUCAACAGGGAAAGGCACCAAAUAUAAGGAGUCACCUGUAUUCGAUGCUCCCCGCCGGUUGUCAGCUGCUGCUGCUCCGUCUCGAUAAAAUUUUGAGUUAAUGGUGAAAACCUAUAGUCUGAUUUUUUUUAAAUCAAAGAAAGGCAUCGAUAAGGGAAUUAUUAAAGAAUUGGAUCGAUAAGCAGAAUCGAUAAUGCCAUCAAUAUAAAUAAAAUCUUAUCAAUUCCCAUCUCUAAUAAUAAGGUUUGUGUAUCUUUUCAUGCAGAGGUUGUAUUUAUAAACAAAACAGAUAAGAAUAUGUGAUGAAUUUUGAUGCAGGAGUUUUGCACUGAUGUCAUACAGCUGAAAUGUUUAUUUUACUUACUACUAAAAACCCCAAAAUCUAAAUGUCCUUAAAAUUUAAUAAAUAUAUUUAUUUAUCUCGUUUGAUACAUUAGAUGUUUUUGGAAACUGAUAAACCACAAGAGGACAUUUUUAUCAUUUAUCGGACUGUAUUCCGAUUUUUUUUACUACUUUGUUGAUCAUAUUAAUUUGAUAGAAGUAUAUAAAAGUAUGUAUCAAAUAUGAUAGAAAAAGCAUUAAAGGGUUAGAACCAGUUUAAAACAAAUCAGAUAAAGGAAUAAUUCAGACGCGGAUCUUUGUAUUUUCCAUUUCAGACAGUUAGAUUCACAUUUAAGCGACUCAGACAGGUGCAUAUUGUGCUCGCCGUGUGCUUGUCAGUUCUGGUUUCAAAGCUGUGAGACUUCAUCAGCAUCGUCACUUAUUGCUCACAGCCCCUCCGCCGUGUGUGCUCCCGGAGCCGGGACCUCCUCCGUGACCCCAGAGCUGGAUCCAGCUCUUCAUCUGUGUUUAUGGAGCCGGUGUUGAGCAGAGAUGAUCGGUCAAUAAAGCUGCAGGAAGAGGGCGCUCAUGAAAGGCAGUGGACUGUGGUUUAGGGAGGAUGGCCAUCAGACCACCAGGGUUUUCAGAUGGAGGGAAUUAUGGGAUUCAUCAAACUGGGGGGUCUUAAACUUGAACACGUUUCCUCAUCUUCAGACAUUCACCUGCUGGUUUUGAAGGUUCAUUUGGAGGAUUCCUCUCUAAUGUUGUCGACUGACCCCCUGAAACCUCUUCAUGAGUUUCUCUUGUUGGAUUAAAUACGAACACGAUCACUUGGCAUCACACUCACAUUGGGGUUUUAGCACAGAUGGCCGGGCAGGUUGUUCAGAGUUCAGUGAAAGUCACUAAUCUGAUUUCGAUAAAGUUAAAAUUGAGUGAAAAAAAAGUCUGCACCAACAUGUCACAUAAAAAUGGAUUUUCUGCUGUUGACUGUUUUUAAACUCGUUUCUGUCUGUGCAACAUUUUCUGCAUCAUCUUACCUACAAUUGCUUUCCACAGUUAUAUGCUUCAUCCUGUAAACGGAGCGUAUUCUGCUGUAAUGAUCAAAUAUAAUUAGUAUUAAGAAUAAAAAGGAGCAGUAAAAAAAAAAAAAACAGAGGACCCAGAACAUUUUGAGUUUAUGGUGAAAACCUAUAGUCUGAUUUUUUUUAAAUCAAAGAAAGGCAUCGAUAAGGGAAUUGUUAAAGAAUUGGAUCGAUAAGCAGAAUCGAUAAUGGCAUCAAUAUCAAUAAGAUCUUAUCAAUUCCCAUCCCUUAUAAUAAGGUUUGUGUAUCUUUUCAUGCAGAGGUCAUAAACACUACAGAUAAGAAUAUGUGAUGAAUUUUGAUGCAGGAGUUUUGCACUGAUGUCAUAUCAAAAAAAACAGAGGACCCAGAACAGAGCCUUGGGGGACACCUGUUGCAGUACGCAGCAUGAAGAACUGAAAGAACCACAUUUUUGUCAGUUGAGAUGAAAUAAUAGAUGAACUGAUGAAUGUUUGUGUUGAAUAUUCUCAGACAUGAAGCGUUUUGUUAAAUAAACCGUUUUCUUGAAAUAUUUAUUCAUAGCUGUCACUGUCAGCCUUCAUUUUGUGGUUUGAACUCCUCACGACAACCUUUCAGUCCCGCUCAGAGGCUCACUGGGGUCAUCAGUCAAACCCUCUUGAUGGGAACAGACACACAAUCAAUUCAUUUGUUUAAAUCUCUGCACUUAAAAAAAUCAGAGUUCCACUUUAACAUUAUAAAUCACUGAUUUAUAAACAAACUGUCCCUUUGAUGGAUAGAUGUUCAUUUGGGGUUUUGUGAUUGCUUUAAAUCAAUGAAGAUCAAUAAAGAGGAAACAGCUGAUUGACUAAAAGGAAAGACGAGAACAGCAGGUCUUCACAGCUCAGUGAAGGUUGUGCAGGUUUUGUGUUGUGUAUAAACUGGAUGAUCUACUAUCUAGAUGUAGACAAGCAAGUCUGAAGUCUGGUGGUGCUAGCUCUGCUAAUGUUAGCCGCUCUCUUCAAACCGACCUCACAAUCCUUCCCUUUCAGACUCUCUGACUUGUGAUGUUUUAAAAAAAAAUUGUGCUGGAUUUUGUCUGUUUUCAGUUCGAGUCCACUGGACAUAAUUUAACUUCCUGUUUCACUGACUUUAAAUUUAGUCACCUAGCAACAUCCCUCACCCUCUGUGGACUCAAUUUGUUGCAGCGCUGUUCAAAGAAAGAGAAAAAGGUUGAAUUUUCUGUCGUGUUAAACCUCAAAAAGACACAAAUCUCUCACACUGCACAGCCGUAAUCCUACAUUUUCGUUCAGUUUCAUUGAUCUCCUUCUUCUUCUGGGAUAUUUGUGAGUUUCAUUGUCUGCUAAAGGAGUCGGAGUUAUCCUGAACAGUUUUGUUUUCAGACAAAAAUCAAUGGUAAUUUUUUUUUUAUGAAUGGCUGCGAUGAGAACAGCAUCUUCACAGUGAAAGUUUAGAGUUUGGGUUUUAUUGUAUUCCUCUUUACGGUCUGAUUUACCGACAAACGCAGACGGAUAAAAGAAGCAGCUAUAACUGUAAACUUGUGAGAAAUAUAUCUCAACUUUCUGAGCGCUGAGCAAAUAUAAAAGCUCGCAGUAUUCAACAGGAACAGACUGGUAGAAAUUGCUUUUAUGAUCUCUGCUUUGUGUUACGGUGACAAUAAACAGGGCUUGAAUUAUGUUCUUGGAGGAUAUUCAGCCUCAUUCUCUUUUUUUUUUUUCCUGGUGUGCUGCUACGUGCGAAAAGACAUUCUCUGCAUUUCUCUUUCACAGCCCGUUCUUUCGCUUUUAGGGAAAAAAAAGUCCUUGAGCUGCAUUCGAAAGCCUGCGUCUGAACCGGGUGGAAACAUCUCUCAUUAUUUCUGUGCGAAUGCGAAGGUUUGGAGGCUCUGACACCCCGAGGGUUCAGCUGCAGCCCUGCCUGAUGUUUGCCCUCCGCUCACAGUCAACCUGAGUCUGAAAUCAGUCAAAUAAGCAGGGAUCAUAGCCGGGAUUAAGUACGCUAAAAGUCCUCUGUGUUGCACAAAAACCAUAAUCUCUCCAUGUCUGACCCCCGACGUCUGGGCGCUGAGGUCUAAACGGCUCUCUGUUAUCCUCUUAAACGCCCCCCUUCCCCUGCUCCUCUGUAUCAUAGCCGUGUCCGUACGCCGCCAGCCGAGAUAAGAAAUCCAAUUAGGCCGAGGCAGCGGUUUUUUUUGUAGCGCGUAACUCCUGAGUUUAACAAGGCCUGAUGCCGCCCGAGGCUGGUGUCAUCGGCGGUCCUUGGAAGUGUCAGGUCCACCCACAUGCAGAUUGCACAACAAACCGGGACUGUCAGGGGACGGUGGGGAGGUGGAGGUGGAGGUGGGGGGCUUACAUCAGCGAUGGGAACACAAGGUCGGCCGAGAGAAGAAGAAGGAGUAAUUCUUCUUAAACUGUAUGGCUGCAGGUUCGCACAGAAGGGAUCUCCACGGGAGGUUUGGAGUCGCUGUGAGGGAUUUACGUAAGAGAAGAAGAGGACUGAGACUUUCGGAUGACAUAACCGAGUAAAUCAGGAGCAUAUGGCUGUAACAACCACUACCUUCAGGCCUUUUAUUACCACGGUACUUUGAGGAUUAUAAAGUCAGAGUGUGUCUCAAUACGCCGAGGAGAACCGGGUUAUAAAACUCAAAGAUACUUUCGAUAGAAUUCAACUUUCGAUGAACAGAACCAGGCUGUGAGAUCCUCUCUGGUCCUGGAUAAUAUCAUGAUAUAUGUUCUGGUCUUCAGUUUUCUCCUGGUUUUGGUCUUUUGAGUUGAUUCUCUAUUGUUCCUGUUCCCCUUUAGUCCAGUCUUGUGAGUUUUCGGUUUGUGUCAGACCCCAGUUCCCUCCUGUUCUCAGUGUUUCCUGUUUUAUUUUGUAGGAUAUUAUACCCCGUGUUUCUCGUCUUGUUUUACUUCCUCAGUUUUCCCUCCUCUGUGAUUGUCUGCACCUGUGUCUUGUGUCUCGCCUGCCUCUCGUCCUUGUCCUCCCCUGUUUCUUUGUUGGUUCAUUGUGAAUGUGUGUGGUGUGUUGUGUUUUUGUUCCUUAAAAAUAAACUCUUUUUUGUUGUUCUGCAUUUUGGCUCCUUUUAUUUUUUGUUCAACUUCUUAAACGUGACAGAUAAGAGUCAAAAAUCAGCCCCUAGACUGAGAACUAGACUCCAAACAGGUCCUGUAAAGUCAUGUAACAUGAUGAAAACCCUCCUAUUCUUCACCAUGGUUUGAGGAUUACCUUUUCAGGUUGUGCCACAAAGACGCUGAUCAAAUAAAGUGCUCUGAACUCACAUGUUUGAGUUUAUAAUGAAAAAGGAUUAAAGUCCACUGAUUGGUGAGGAGAAAAAUGAAAGUUUUGAUCUGGACUUUUUCACAGUAAUUGCGUCAGAAAUUGACGUCAGCGUGUGAAAAGGUCGCGUCUUCGUCACAGACACAGCGCGAGUUUGUACCAUUUUGCGAACAGCCGCCAUUUGGGACUUAAAAACGUGUUACAUCAUGACCUCCCGCUCUUAGCUUCGGUCUCUGCUUGGAGUGGAUUUACAUUGGAGUUGGCUGGAAGCUCCGCGUGUUACCUGCAGAAGCUGAAGGUCAGACUACUUUCAGCAGAUUGCAGAGCCUGCUGAGUUUGGACACAGACAGCAGUCUGCAAAAACUCACCGAAAAUUGGACCGAGCCUGUGAAAGCAGGUGCACAUCAAAAGAGCCAUUUUCCACUGAUAGACAUAAGUGGAUGAAGAAUACUUACGGCUCCACAGGUCCUCAGACAUCUCAAAGAGGAUCUUUAAAGCUCAUUUUCAGCUCUAUAUAGUUUUGAUUCUGGAUUCAGCUGAGCAGCUUUGCAUGAAUCACAGUAAAGUCUGCAGUCUGGCCUUUUUCCUGACAUUUUAAAUCUGUUUGAAAAAGUUUAAUUGAACCAAACUGCAAAGACUCAAACAGUGUGUACUUUUCAGUCAGAAUACAUCGGUACACUGAGUAUCAGUCAGCUGACAGGGACGACAUAAAACACUAAAAACACAGAUCUGCCUUUAAUGGAUAAUUAUGAACAGUCUUUGUGUUCAACAUGGAGCUAACAAAGACCAUCGUACAAAAACCAGACUGGAGCAAACUGGGAAUCUCUGUUUUCAGGUUCAAAUCAGAUAGAAGGAAAGUUCUCAAUGCAGCGGUUACAGGUUCGACUUCUGACAUCAGAUUGACCUUUUCUGAUGCAGGUCACCUGACUCUCAAAUUAGAACAAAAAACACUUAAAAUAAGGUUUUUGUCAGUGGGAUUUGGUGCUGCAAGAGCAACAUAAAAGAGCGUUACAUAUACCGUAUUUUUCGGGCGAUAAGGCACACCAGAUUAUACAGCGCACUGUGAAUCAACGUGUUUUUUUACACAUAAGGCGCACCGGAUUGUAAGGCGCAUUGAACAUUUAUUGGUUUAUUGUUGGUAGCGCAUACUCUGCGUCUGGGCUGCCUUACAUGAAUGCACUUCUAGUUAAGACAUAACAGUCAGGCAGUCUUGUAGACUGCUCAGAGGUCCUGUUACAGGGCCAAUCAGGUAUUGACAAAGCGUACCAUACUGCUCCGAAUAUCCAUCAUUGCUUACCAAAGUCGUACUUAGGCAUUUCGACAGUUUUUUGAGCGCAUUGUACUAUGAAAUCAGACUGUAACACAUGAAAUCGCUCAGUUAGCACAAAUAAUCAUACAUAAGGCAUGCUGUCAAAUUUUGAGAAGAUUUAAUGAUUUUGAGUGCGCCUUAUAGUCCGAAAAAUAUGGUAAGUGUUUUUAAACGGAGCUAACACAAACCAUUUGCACCACAUCAUCACACAAAAACCCAGACUGGAGCCAAUUAGAAAUCUCUGUUUGCAGGUUUAAAUCAGUUAGUUGUUGGGCGCUGGUUUUGCACCAAAGAUAGUCCUCAGGUUCGACUCUUGGCGUUAGAUCGACCUUUUCUGAUGAAUGUCACCCGACUCUCAAACCAUUGACUAAAAAACACUUAAAAUAAGGUUUUUGUCAGUGGGAUUUGGUGCUGCAAGAGCAACAUAAACGAGCCAGAGUCUAAAAAACGUCUUUAUAAUCACGUUUACCUCUAAUAUGAAACACCCGGCAUGUUCGGGCGCUUCAUGCGAGCAGAAAUACGAGGUGAUUCGACCGCCACACCGCCAGUAAAAGUCACGCGGCUCUGCGGUGGAUUGGUUUUACAUCAGGACAUUAGCUCCAUAUUUGAUCUCUGCUAAUCAUUCAUUUGGAGAGCCAGAUUACAUUUUGGGGCCUAAUUGCGUCCCUGGCAUGCCAACAGUGAUUGGCUGACUGAAGUUAAGUGUACUCGAUGUUGAGUCUGAUCUCAGAAAUCAUUAGUUAGAAAGCCUCUCCGUUGAAUGAUGAUGAAAUGAAAGUGCAGAUAAAUGUGGAGGAUCGUCUGUCUGAUGGUCCAUAAAAACCUCCUGUUUUUAAAAAUAGAGCUUUUUUGUCACUUGAGACGUAUCCCGAGUUUACACGCUGACGUGCUUUGAUGGAGCUCAAAGAGCGCCUCAUUUCAGAUAAAAAACACUCUGACAAGCUCUCGUGGAGCGGCCGACGUGUAAAAGACUCCAGCUUUAAAGGGAGGUAAUGAGGAUGAUGUUGAAACUCUGUCCUGAGUCAGGAAACAACAACAGUUCACGUGUCGACGAUCACCUGAACCUUUAAAGAUUCUGUGACGUUGUUUCAUCACCGUUUUUAAGUGUUCGCCGUCAGCAGAUACCAUGUACGCAGAAAGAUCAAGUGAUGCUGGCUGGAUUUCUGCCGGUUGCUUCAUGUUGCGUGAUGUUUUUGUGUGUGAUAAAAGAUGGCAGAAUAUCAAAGUGUAUAGAAUAUUCAUGCAAAAAACAAACAAACAGAGAGAUAAAACCACAGGCCGGGGUAAACAGAUAUUAAACCCUGAAAUAUUUCACUUUCGUUUAAAUUCCACAUUGUGUGCUCAGCGCUCUGCUACAUUUCUGUAUCCAGGUUUUUGUCCCAUGGCAGGGAGAGAGACCGGUAUUGUUUGCAAUCUCUCCGCCAGCAUGCAGCCCUGAUCGCUCUCGCCUCCGUAACUCGGCUCAGCACCUUGAAAUUCUCAACAAUUCAGCCAGCAGGUUAUUGAAUCUGCGAGGCGUCCCCCCUGUUCCAAAAUAUAUCACACAAACAGCCUUUAGAGCUGCUCAGGACCGGCUCGGUUAGGCGGGAGGACAUAAAUACACAUGAACUGAGCAUCAAACUGGACCUCUGUUUCUGUUCGUCUGGAUACUGAUGGGCACAGUGAACCUUUAAAACCAUUUACUUCAACCAUCCCUUCAAACUCGUCCUUAAAGGUGCUGAAAUAUUCAGAUUAUUAAUAUUUUUAAAAUGAUCCCUGCAGAAAUAGACCGUUUCGUCUGUUGCGUUUGUGUAACAUCCUCUUAAAGAAAUUGAUGUUACAUCACCUCCUCACCGCCACCAGACUCCACCGACAAAAAUAGUCAUUUUAUCCCAAAAGACGAGCUGCCGUGUGGUUAACAGCUGACAUAAAUCUCUGCUAUAGAGUGUCAUGUUGUUGUGAGACUUCGGCGUAUCGAGGGGUGAGUCCAGAUCAAACUUCACAUUUUUAUAACAGGCUGUGAGGAAGACGGAGCAGGAGACUGAAAACCUCGUGUCCUUCCAGGUAAACUGCUGUUUUUGUCAGAGUCUGAAAGAUGUCAGAUUGAAAACCUCUUCAGUUUCAAACUGAACACUUUUAGUUCAACAGAUUUGACCUUCAGGACACUGCGGCAGCAAUUAUAACCCUUUUUAGUCAUCAAGACUCUCACAGGCAGAGCGCAGUAACCCUUUUAAUUCCUGGAUUUAGAUCUACAAUCUGGAUAAAAACUGUUUUUAAUGGAAAAUGAAAAACCACAUCCUGCAGGGAUCACAACCGCAUGGCUCUCUGGUGUAGAAGAGUGCAAACAUUGGCCACAAAUGGGACUCGGACUGUCGAGCCGCCAUGACUCGGACUAGUAAUGUGUCGUUGAACGAUUUGCUCAAUUAACGGAACUGCUGAGUGAACAACGUGAACGAAAUCACUCCAAGACCUGAUUCGUUCCUUUCGUUCCAAGAGCCUGGCGUGCCGGUUGGGGGUGGAACUGCUGCCUUUGACUCUUUGACAACACACAGCCAGCCAGCAAGCAAGUGGGUGGGCGGAGUCUCGUGAUUUGCUCAUAGUAAAUCAACGACAAGUAUCAGUCAGACUGACGAACGAAACGAACGACUUCCAAACAACUUAAGGCAGGCAGAGGAGAGAGGAGAGCAGUGUCGUUCAGGAACUGUCGAGCAUUGGUUUGUUCGCUGCAUAUUUAUUUUUAAUCUCUCCGCUUUUCCACGAUAUGAAAGAAUGACGACUCACGCUCGUUUAGCAGGCGUGCUGCUUGCUGCUGUGUUGUUCCACUCACCUCGCAAUGCGAACGUCGGCGAGAAAUGAGUUUUUCAGGGUAAGGGGAGUGAUUCUUCCUUCAUGACUUUGCGAAUGAAUGAUGUGUGUCACCGAGUGAUCGACGCAGUGACUUCAGCAGCAGGGGAGGGGAGGGGCUUGUUCAAUGAACGAACUCCCAAUGUGUCACUCACUCAUGUACUGCACACGGGAGGACGAAGCACUGACUGAUUCGGUGAAAGAAUCUUCUGAACGAAUCAUUUUAAUGAACCGAUUCUAAAGAUUCAGUACAGUCAAAAGAACUGUUCUUCUAACUCAGACUAAACUGGGAAUUCCACUGGAUCUGGAACGGCUCCGCUCUGGACUGGCAGGCGGAUCAAAUACGCAAGCAUAUAGCGCCACCAUCGGAGGAGAAGCUCUUGCAUUAAUACCAGUAGGUCUCGCGAGAUCUCACAGGUUUCCCCGUGAGACGUUGACUGAGAUCCGCCGAUCGGUGUAUAUAAAUGGCGGUGUGAAUAAACACCCACAUCCCUGGCCUCUCCUGUUAUCAAGCUAAGAACAGUUCAAAGUAUUGACUUUCUUUUAUUUUGAAAAUUAACCAGAUAUUUUUGCCCGUAACUGGGAACCCAUCACACAUACACUGCCCCAUUUUUUGGACUUUCAUAAUAAUAACUGUUGGAUCCAGAUUAAUUCCUCCAUCAUGGUUUCGUCAUGGCGAGCAGGAGGACCAGCGUUGUCUUCAGUCUCUCUGCUGAUCGCUCUCACCUCUGUUACUCAGCUCAACACCCUGAAAUUCUCAACAACUCAGCCGGCGGGUUAUUGAACCUGCGAGGCGCUCCCCUGUUCCUGAGAUCUAUCACACAAACAGGCUUUAAAAACUGCUCCAGACCGGCUCGGCUGCUCCUGAUAGAUUGCUGGAAUCAGUCUCAUAAGAAUGAUUGCGCUGGCUCUCGACUUGCUGAGUCUAUAAAUUAUAGAGCUUUGCCAGCUGAUCUCAAUAUAUACGCUCCUCACAGAGUACGUCUCCCGUUCCAGAGCCCCACUGAGGAUAGAUAUGCGGUGAUAGAUGUGUCGCUAAUUUGUUUUGUGGUUGAGACAUAUCUGCCACUCAUUUGCAUAAGAGUGCUUCCCCGGAGACGCUCAUUUGUCCCUUGAAGGGAAAAAUGUAACGUGAUGCAGCCUGUCAUUUACCCAGCCGUGCAUAUCAUACUUGCAUUAAUGGGUCCUGUAGUCCUUGUUCCUGCAGAAGGGCCGAGAAAUCAAGUCGUUUUUCCUGAGAACAGAGCAGAUGCUGGUUUUAUUGAGAGAACGACGCUCAGAUAUUCACUAAAAAGUGAAGAAGUAAGAGGUGCAGUGUCUCUAACACUCCAUGAUUUAUGGCUUUAAAAUCUUAACGUUCCUCUUUUAUAAAACACAAUCACAAAGAUUGAUGACUUUGUUCACACGUUGAAUUUGCCUUCUUAUUCAUUUCGCUUCUGUACUGUCUGCAAAUGAAGAAACCAUCCAGGAGGAGACGCCAUUUAAAUGCUAUUUAGCGAGUUCAUUAAAGCACAAAGUUUUCAGGCUUUUCUUUUAAUACAGUUACAGGAAAGUUUCUCCUUCUUCAUCACCCUGACGGAGGAGUCUCUCUGUGUGUGUGUCUGAUGAAGUACAGUCUGUGACAGUCAUGUCAGUGAGAUUAUGUCAGGACCAAAUGUGCCUCAGAGCCCGCUGUGCUGUGAAAUGAAUAGGUGUGAAUGUAUCACAGAGAGCUGGUAGGAAGCCUUCAGUCCUUAGGUGCAGAUACACCAGUUGAGCCGUGGCAAUCAAAGAAGCUGUUUCACUUUCAGAUAGUCCGGUUUGGAGUCAUGCAUGUUUGAUUCUUAUUGUUUUUAUUCUUCAUAUAGAGCACAAAAAAACCUUUCACUGACCUGAAACAGCAGAAGUGAGAUCCUGGUUCACAGCUCCUGGUGUGGCUGUGAUGGAGGGACGUCAGGAGACUCUGGGGUCACGGUGCAGUGUCUGAUUCACAGUCUUUGUACCUCUAGAGGAGCCAUAAUGGCGUCUGAAUGAACUUAGGAUCAGGAUUUUUUUUUUGCAUUUUCACAAAUAGAGUGAAAGAGGUCCAGAUCCAGGACUUUGAGAUAUUCUAGUCCAGACCUGAUGAGCUUCAGUAUAGGUUAUAUCUUACCUGCCAACACUCCCGUUUUUCCCAGGACUCUCCCGUUUUUCAGACCCAUCUCCCUCCAACCUCCUGGAAUCUCCCGUGUUUUGAUGGUCCACAUUCAUUCAUGAAUCGGAUCACUAUGUUUGUUCAAAGUUUCCAGACAAACGAAGAUUGUUGAAGUGUUACCAUAACCAAUCAUCAGUGAAAAUAACAACGAUGAAUAAACCAUACUGCUGAAUUAAUUUUACCUGCUCCAGACUGAGAUACUGCGAUAUGAGGACCAAGAAACAAGAUCACUGGGUGAAGAAAGUCAAAAUAAAAAUGUUCAGUCUGUUCUGAAACACAAAGGCGACUUUGAAGAAGGAAUUUAACAAGAGAUUUGGAGGGUAAACAUUUUAGAGGUUGUGUUUCAACUGAGGAGUUUCCAGCUGGUACCGAAAUUCAACAAAUACCAACAACAGUAAACAAGACCAUCCGCAAGAAGACUGUUAUUUCUCUAAAACUGAACAAACCCGAUCCAAAAAGAGGCGCGGGCGUCCCUGCCAACACUCCUGUUUUUCCCAGGACUCUCCCGUAUUUCAGACCUAUCUCCAGCUCACCUCCAGUAUUGUCAUUUCUUCCGGGAAUCUCUCGUAGUUUGAUGGUCCAACUUCAUUUAUGAAUCGGAUCACGAUAUUUGUCCAAAGUUUCCAGACAACUUUAGAUCAUCCUGUGUUUCUGCUGAGCCUCACAGACUCUGGAUUGAUACUUUUACUUUACAGUUUGGAAUGAUUCAGGUCGGUUUAAGCUGUAAACUUAAAGCUGUAAAGAAAGGAAAACAAACACGAGAUACAAUAUUCAUGUUGAUAGUCUUGUACCGUCUCGGGGUGAUGCGUUCAGGGCAGCCUCAGAUAAAAGAGUUCUGUAUUUCACACACAGAUGUUCAGAGAACCUCAUAUAGGAGAGCAUGUCAAACAUAUGAGGACUUUAACACCAAUAUUAGUGGACUAUAAAUAAGUUCAAGGCAUAUUGUAGCUAUUAUUAUUGUUCUUUUAUUAUGAUUUGUUAUUGUUAAAGCAAAACAAAAGUGUGCAGCUUCACUUAGACUUAUUUGGAUGAGCAAUUUAAUUAAGGGUUUUAUAAGUCUGAACACUGGCAGUCACCAUAUGAGAAAUGCAAAGUCCUAGUUAUGCAGAACUUUUAAUUUUUUCUCCAUUUGUAUCUUUACUAUGCUGCUGUAAAUUUGGAAUUUCCCCUCAUGGGACUAUUAAAGGAACAUCUUAUCUUAUCUUAGCUUGUACCUUAACAUCCCGAAACGACUCAGUUUUAAGAGAGACAGAUGUGCUUUUCAUACCACAGCCACUUUCUCCAGACUGUAAACAUGAUUAUUUUAGCUGUAAAGAUGAGCAUUUAUACGAUGGGUGUCAAAGGGGUAUCUGUUGAUUUUGCAGUCGGCCUCAAGUGGACACUUUAGGAACUGCAGUCUUGUAUUUUUCAACAUUAGAGAGAGUCUCGUUAAAAAAACAAACCUCUAAAUACUUAAAUAAUUAGAUCUUUUUUCUUUCAGGUGAGGUUGUCUGGGGUAGUUAUAAAAAGUCAGUGUGUUAUCUGCAGAUGUUGGUGGUUAGCACAGCGUCAGUUUGUAAAAGCUGCAUUCAGCACUAAAACAGAAGCUGAGCUGUUCUCUGCUGUGGGCAGAGUUUGUACUACAGUACAGCUACUUAAUCGAAGAGGGAUCGAUAAUGACCUCCUUCAGAUAAUCUGUUCUCUGCCUUUAAAGCCAUAGAAAAAUAAACAUGUGCAGUACACGUUUAAUCAGUCACCUCGAUCAUCUUUACAGAGGACAUUUAUCUGCAUCAUCACAUUCACCAAAUAGUCCAUGGGCCCGACAGAUAUUUGGUACACCUCAGGGUGGCAAAUAUAAGGUACAGACACAUGUCUGUAGAUUAUAUUUUUGUGUGAUAACCAGGUGCCCCGCUAAAUAUUGGUUAUCAGCUCAUGAAGUUAACCACCCCUUAAGAUUAAUGAGAUUUUUUUACACUGAUGUAUAUCUGGUUUAGGCUCACGGCAGGGACAUUUCUCAAAGGUUUACAAUAGACUGUUUGGUAUCAUUUUAAAGGGGAUCCUUGUGGCUUUCAUUUAAGCCUAUAUGUGUUUAUCUUAGACCAACAUGGAAGUCACUAGAGCUCUUUAAAUCACAAAAAAAUACACAUUUUCCUGAAAUUUGUGCCUACAUGAUAUACUUUCUUUUGGCCAUAUGUCACCCAGGGACAUCAGGGAUUGAAGAAUUACAAACUGCAAUACUCCUGGGACUCAUAAGAUUCAGAAGAUAGACAGACAGACACACAGACAGACAGACAGACUUUAUUGAUCCAAAACUGGGAAAUCCUCUAAAGCACAGUCAGCUUCACACUCUUGCCGUGACCCGGAUUCGAACCGGGGUUGCUGCGACCACAACGCAGAGUACUCACCACUAUACGAUCACGGCCUCCUGAAUGUGUAAAAUACCCAUACUUUCUCUUUGUGGGAGGGGACUGUGUGGAGUUUUGAGAAGUCAGAGGUUUAGGCGAGAAUCUUGAGGGCAUCUCCCAUCAGGGAUAUUAGUCAGAACAGAAAAUGCCUCCUAGCUCCUAGUGCCUGCUCCUCGAUCGGCUCCUGGGGCGGAACCUUAGCUCUCAGUGCCUGCUCCUCGAUCGGCUCUUAGUUGUCUCCAGGACUGGACCCUGCUCUUAGGUCAGCAACCAGGUCAGCCAAGCAAUUCAUUCACUGUAAAAAUAUUAUAAAACACUUUAUGUGGGUGUGAGCACAGGUGGAUCCACCUGCUUGGCAUAUCUGCCUGUCACACUUCAGACAGCACCACGAUGCAGGCUACAGGGUCAUCAGCCGGGAGUCACCCUUCUCAGAUGUUUCGCCCCAUUAUUCCCGAAACAUCUCUGGGUGGUGGGGCAGUGGAAGGGACGUCUACCUACCACUCCCUGCAGCCUGCUUAGAAUCCGUGCUAUCCCCACACCUUGUCCUUCCUCCGAGGUCAGAGCCAAGAUCUCCCUUGCUCCGCCUCCUCCGCCAGGUCCUGCAUAACUUGCUUCCUUUUGUGAUCUGUUACUCUGAGAAUAACAGCCACCCUUCUCAGAUGUUUCGCCCCAUUGUUCCCGGAACAUCUCAGGGUGGUGGGGUUUAGCAGUAGGGACGUCUCCCUACUCCCUAAGAUUUUUUUUAUUUUUUAAUAUUUAUUUAUUUAUUUAUUUUUUAAGUUGCAAUUAUGAAAAUUGAACAGAAAAACCCGAAAUGAUGGAAAAGGUAUGAAUUUGGGACAAGAGGGUAAUUAGGGAAGUUAGUUCAGUUUGAGGAGGAGAGGUCAGAAGGAGGUGCCUCCCGUUUCCUCCUCUUCAAGCUCUUUGGCUUCCUCAAGCCCAGAAAAUGCCUCAUCCUUUUCCAGACUGAAGGUCUUGAGAGUCUUCUUGAGCUCCUCGAUCUCUUGGGGCAGCUGUUUGUGAAGCUCAAGUUCAUGUUUUAGCCCCUCCUGCUCCUCUCUGAGACGUCUAUUUUCAAUCUCUUGUUGGAGCUCAGCUAGAAAUGGAUCUCUGCUGGGAGAAUGAGUCAUCUUGAGCUCCUCAAUCUCUCGUCUGUUAAGAAUCGGAUGUUAAGAAUCAUCCAAAGAUCUGGACCUCCCCUUCAACCUGUGCUGAAACAUCAAAGGAAUGAUGAUGUCACGCUGAUGUCAUCAACGGAAUGAUGUCAUCAACGGAAUGAUGUCACAAGACUAUGUUCUAACGUAUCCAUGGAAACCAAAUUUGAAAAAAAAUAAAAACUACACAGAAUAAUUACAAUACAAGAAGAAAACUGCGCAACACGUGCACCCAUGAAAUAAAAAAUAAAUUAAAAAAUCAAAUCAAAUUACAAAAGUGUUAGUUACCUUACCAGAGUAAAUUACAAAUACUCUCAUAAUUCGCUCAUAUCCACCAGACAAGAUAAUCCUUCAAAUUUCCGCCGCAAAACUCUCCUGGAUUUUUUAACUUGAAUGUUGGCAGGUAUGUGUUAUAUAGGCUCUAUUUUGUUUCAGGAGGUUGGGGGAGGAAGUGAAAUCCCUUUUAUUGACAUUUGCGCAAAUAAAAUAUGGACUCCAUCAUGCUCACGUCUCCCCUUUAUGAGGUGAUGGUGGCCCUGAAGGACAAGAAGCUCCUGUAAUCGUCUAUUUGUCAAUUUUACCAUCAAAACUGUCAAACAAUGCAAAGAACAACCUUUUCUUCUUCAUCAUCAUCUUCUUCUUCUUCCUGUUUUUUUUCUCACAACUUCAAAAACACGAAUAUUACCAGAUCGGUGACCUGCUGCUCCUGUAGGGUCACAAAUAUCAUAUCUGUCUGUAUUUCUAAAUCCUCCACACUGCUCUUUUUUUUCCAGCUGAAUCAGAGGCUAGCGUUUAAUAGCAGGUGUGUUUCAGUUUUUUCCAGGCAGAUUUAAUGACUCUCAUUUUGAAUCACAAAGUACUGCUUUCAAAAGAGUUACUCUUUGGUUCUCAGCUCUUACACGGCUUCGAUUUGAGGCUUUUAGGGACUUUUAAAAAUCAUUUAAUCUCUGAAGUCAUCUCUAUUUGAUCCUCUGUUCACAAAAAAAGUCAAAUUCUGCUUUUUUCCACUUCUGAGCGUUCCCUAAAAAUCCUAGUUUUGAUAAUUGCCUUGGGCGAUCGGAGACUAAUACGAACCCAAUUUGCAAAAGAAGUUGUUUUUUAUUGACUCAUAUUUCCGUUCAAUGUAAGGAUGAUGGAGAAAAACAACUUUAAAGUUAAGACUUGUGCUUCUGCAGUCUUCCAGUCCAGUUAGUCGAUGUCUUUAAGUUAAAAUAAGGUGAGAACAGCAUUUAGGGACAUGCAGCAGGGCGUGGUCACUCUCUUUUUCCUCUCGAGUUGAUGUUAAUUACUCGAGCUUAUUAAAAUUCAUGAGUGAUGCUUUAAAGAAUCCGCCCUGCAGUGUUUAUAUCCCACAGGUGUUGUUUGUUUUUGUUGUCUAUCCAUAUGGACCGGCCAUAUGUUACGUCUCAGUUGUCAAGGUUCCAGGAGAAAUGCUGAGAAACUCAAACCUUCGACUUUAUAUAUCAGCCUUUAUGUUGUAUAAAUAUGCAGAGGGUUAAGGAGGGAGCUGAUGCAGAGUUUCUCGAAAAAUCAAGAAAUAUCUCCGUCUCAUAUUCAUGUGUGUUUUUUAUUUUUGUGCAGGGAUUUAAUUUAUGACAUUUUCUUUGCAAUGAUUGCAGAAACACUCGGAGUGGACUGGAGCUUCGCUUUAAACACACAACUACAAAUACGAGAAAUUAACAACUCUUCCUGGUGCCUCAUUCAAAUAUGUCACAGUCCAAAUCUGUUGUAGCAUGUAGGUGGAGUGGUAAGAAGUGUUUCGCAAAGAAGUGAUAAUGGCAUGAAAUCUGUGUAGGUGGAAAUGAGUGUGGCCUUUAAAGAUAGUUACACAUUAAAUGGAGGAGAGAGAGAGAGAGAGAGAGAGAGAGAGAGAGAGAGAGACGCUCAUAACUCCGAGAGAAAUAAUGUAAAAUGUGGAAACUUUCGACUAAAAGAUGUUUGAAAAGCUGAUCGCAAGAAAGCAAAGUCAAAAGAAAAGUGAAGAAAAAGUGAGGGCGGUAUGACUAAAGUAAGGCUGAAUUCCCACCUGAAAAUAAUAAAAACUUAAUUGUGUUAAAACAUUUUAAAACGACUGAAAUGUUCAAAGUUUUAAAUAGUCUCCACAAGACAAGAAACCUUUUUACGCUCGAGACCUUGAACGUCUCGCAGGAUUCGAUGAAAAAUAUAAACGGCUGCAUUCCAUUUAGUUUCAGACGCUCAAGGGUCCAAGGGUUUUGUAUUCCGUCUCCCUCCCAGACAGAGACUCACGCCGGGUCAUGAAGCGGUUUUGAAAAUUUAAGGUUUGCUGGAAUAUUUAGUCGACCUUGUUUGCGAGUUUUGUGUUGAGUGGAGAGAGAGAGUUUCUCCGAGCAGAAGUGUCGGAGGUGAGGUCGGAUUCGGUGCCGUCGGGAUGCUGAAUCAGAUCCCUCCACGUUGAUGAAGUGCGCUCCGUUCAGCUCUGGACUUGAGUGCCCUCCAGGCUGGAGUGGGAGUACAGAGGGACGGGUUUGAGUAAGGGCCUUAGACCUGUUUUACUCCGACUGGGGCGCUGACUCAUGCAGGGGCGGCAUGAAGUGUUUAAUCAGACUUUCUGUCAGCACUCGUCAUCAUGUCGCUACUUUGACUACUCGUGUUAAAGCUCCUGUGAAGAGUUUAAGAGUGGUUUGGUGACGUAAAAAGGAGGCAAGACUGACGGUUUCUUCUAAACCUUCAAAACAGGUUUAAAACCGUUUUGUUUUGGAGGAACUUUGAGAGGAAAGAGUGGCUGCAGCUCUGCUCCGACCAGGAAGCAGUCUGUUCGUUGUCGAUCACAAAUCGCUCCAUUACACUUCCUUAUUUACACGUGUAGCAGGUAGGACUCAGAGGCAGAGGUUGCUUGCUGUGCAGCUACUCCAAAAUUAGGUUGACUCCUCCCCCUUUCCCCCGCCCUCCUAUUUAAGUCACCUGUGUCAGGUGAGCUGACUUUCUUUAGUCUGUGCCUGCUGCUGCCACAUGGUCUGAACAGAGGUAAUGAAACCUGGUUCAUCAUAUUUGACUUUUUAUUUUGAGUUCUGACCUUUUAUCAGUUUGCUGAAUUGUGUUUAUUCUUUUAGUUUUGCGCCUUUCCCUGUCUGUUGGCGUCCUCCGAUACAAGUAAUGUUAAGUGGGUUGGAGGAAACCUGGAUAAAUGUACCUAAACAGACACGAUCAGCUGCUUUUUUGUCUUUUAGAUUUUCUUUGGUUUAUUUUGUUUGUUUUUUGUCAGCAUUUUAGUCCUUGAUUUUAAUGAAAGAGCCAUUUUUGCAGAACAAACUUUUUUAUAUAAUAGUUUUAAUCAUUUCUUUGUGUAACCUUUUCUUUCUCAUCCCCAUACAACUCAGUGGAGGUUAGACACGUAGACUGCCUCCCUCUUGUUAGCUCCCCUUCCCUUUUGUUAGUUUUAACUGUCCUGAAGUGUUUUAGUGAUUAAUUGUUUAAAAAGAAUCAUUAGUAAUAAACUUUUCUAACCAAUUAAUUCAAUAACAGACUCAAACAUUCAUCACUAACUCAUUUGUUUUUUUUCAGCAGACACUUCCACUAUUCCAACUAUUUUUUCAUCUAAUAUUAUGAAUAUAUUUUGGUUUGCUUCGAUUCACGUAUCCGUCUCGUAGAAUUUCUCGAAUCUGUGUUCGCCUUUUAAUAGUUGAAACUGGGUAAUUCCUUGGGUAAAAGUCCCUAGGUGGCUGUUGUCUGAAAAUGGCCCUUAUCCCACACAGCCAUACAUGCAGCUGUAGGCCUGUCGCGAUAAUCAAUAAAUCGCCUUAUCGCUCGAUAAAUAAAAACGAGGUCGAUAACUUUGCCAGCCUCGAUAAUUAACGUGCGUUUGUUUUCCUCCUCUCUCGCUACCAAACACGCUGGAUGAGAGAAGAGGUCUCACUCUGCGCAUUGUUCUCGGCACCUGGGGGCGUUGGCUCUAUAGAGGAAUGAACGGAGUUAGUGAACCCUCCUGUCAGUCAUUCAGUGUCUUUGUCACGAGGGGGCUGGCGCGCACAGGCACACAGACACAGACUUUUGGAUACAGUGCUGCAAGUGAGCGUCGUGAGUGAAAAGCAAGCAAACAGAAUGAACACGACAGCUUUGGUGUCUAAACCGAACGCAACAGCCCAAGUGUGGGAAUAUAUCGGCUUUAAACCAGUUUUGUUUUCGUCAACCACAAAACUCCACGUGUGUGUGUGCGCGCGCGUGCAUGUGUGUCUGUGUGUUGGAGGAGCACAGCAGGCUGAUGAGAGCUGUCAGAGCGGACUGAAGCUGCUCCUAUAUGUUUAGCGUUUAACUGACUGAGUUUUGCAACUCUGUUCGUCAUUUUCGUCUCGUCCCAUCAACGUAAACGCACUUUCGUCUCGUCACAUUUUAGUCAUCUCCGACUUAUGUUUAGCUCGUCAACGUUACGUCUUCGUCGUGGGAGAAAAGGGAAAUAUUUUAGUCAACGAAAACAACCAGUGUUGUUCUCGUGUGGAAAUUAAAGUUUAUCACUUUUGACAGGGUGUACUCGCAUUAUUAUGCCAUAUGAUAUCAUUAUCUAUAAUUUAAAAAAUGGUGUCAAUAAUAUCGUUUAUCGGCAAUAAUUUGUAGCACAAUUAUCGUCCAGCAAAAUUUGUUAUCGUGACAGGCCUAUGCAGCUGCCAUGUGUGUUUAUACUGGUGAUGGUCUGGAUCCACACCCGGGCCCAUGCCACCUGUGACCACCCCUUUGGCUCUGCCCCUGUUUUAACUUUCCCUGGUAUAAAACUCUUGGUUAUUAGAAGCUAUUAGAAACGUAUUCCCUCUCAAAGUCACCUACUACCUGCUAGGGCUGGGUGAUAAACCGAAAAUUUACAGAUAUCUAAAUUUAUGACAAUUACCAACAUCAUUUUGCCCAUAUCGGUAUAUUCCAUGUCAAAUAAAUGAGUAAAAGUUGUUCUUGGAUGUGUGUAGGUAGGCUAUGGUCUCGUGUCCCUUUAAGACGCUGUCAGAGACGUGACUCCACCCCAUCCAGUCCGUAAUCCGGAGUCCGGACGGUUCAAAAGUUGUAGCGGCUGAAGUAGACGAAGUUAAUGUGGGAGGGGGUGAGCAGCUUGUGGAGUAGUUAUCGUCCAUUUAUCAUUAUCCUGGUAAAUUACUCGAUAUAUCAUAUUGAUUUGAGCCUAUAUUGCUCAGCCCUACUACCCACCUACCUAAAUUAACCGUCACUCCCACAGUUUGCACUUCCACAUCUCAGUUUUUACCGUGACUCUUUCAGAUUCCUGCUCUGUUUUUCAGACAGACUUUUCUUUUACCUCUGGUCAGUGUUGGAGUCAAAGGUCUUGUGUCUUUUGGUGGGAAGAAAACAUCAAGAGGAACAGCUGGCGGAGAGAGCCUGAGGUGAACUUUCAGCAGCGAGGUCACGACCCGGUCGAGGCGCCACACAGAGAGGAGGAAACAACCCGCUGCCUCAGCUCUGGAUGUUUAACGCCGACUGUGUCGGUAUUUCUUUGGUAACAUGUCAAACUUUAACCUGUAACUUUGGAAAGUUUCACUCAAAUUUAGACUUUUCUGUUCGAUUUUUAAAACUUUUCUUCUUCCAGCCAAGGAAGGGUUAUUUUCAGAGUGGAGAGCUUAAAUUAAAGCUCAGGGGGUUUCAUUUCCAGGUAACUAAAUUACUUCUUCUGACCGAGCUCCUCUGGCAGACACAAAGCAAUUACAAACUGCAACAUAGUCGGACUUUGGCAGCGUUAAGAAAUGAGAGUAAGGUGUGUCUGGUUUGACUGACAGGUGGGUGGUUGUUGGUUCCUAGAUUCGUCAGGGUCAGUGUUUCCAUCAGAUAAAGACCUUCUCAUAAACCGCCGUGUGAUGUUUCCUCAGGCUACAUCCAUGAGAACAACAACGCUCAUUCAAGAGAAAGUUUCAGGGAUCUUCGAGUGCCGAAGUGUUCAGAGCCACAAUGAGGCUUUCAGAAACAUGACAAAACAACUCGCUGAUGCCUUUAUUUUUCCUGCUUUUCAGAUUUCGGUCCUUGACUUUCAUUGAGUAAGACUCAAUGUUAUAAAGAGCCGUGAGCUGCCUGCACAACAACAAAGGCACCAAAGUGUUGAUACUUAAGUAUAUCCUCAUCUCUACAGACUCUGAAUAAUGCUUUUGUUCCUGUUUGUACCGCUAAAGUGAUCUGAAAGCAAAAAAACUGUUUUUUUUCCAACAAAAAUGUUCAUUUUUUAAAUAUUUUUUUCGUUAAUUUGACAACACAGCCCCCAGAGUUUAAGAAGUCUUUAUCAUGGUAAGAAUUGGUGAAUAUUAUCCUUAUGAAAAAAAAACAAAGGAUGAAAACCUUUGGAGCAAACCUGAGGAAAGAUAUUUAGAAGCUUUUGCAAGAUCCUGCAACCCAAUUUUCAGGUCACACGUACCAGAAAUAUAGGCGCAGAUAUACAGACUGGAUUAUUUUAAUGUAGUAUUAAUUUUUAAGUGUUGUCCUGUGACCAAAAUUCACUUUUUUUGGUGUAAUAGCCCUUUUCAUUUUUCCACUCCUGCUCACAAUGUCCCGAGGUUUCUUCAGGUGUCGAGUAAACGCACACCCUGCUUUUAAAAAAUCAACUAAAACCCUCAACAAUUCAGACUAAAAAACAACAGAUAUAUAAUUUAAAAUCCACUUUAGGUAAAGCAGUUGCAGAGUUUGUUAAAGCUUUGAGAGAGAAAAAGCAUUAAAACGCUCAUUUCUGAAGUUACUCCAGGAUUGAGGCGUAAAAUCAGAGGAGGCUGCUCUUUCAUGUUUUGAAUAACACGGUUUUCUUCUAUCGCACCACUUUAUGUCUCCGUGUUUUGACCAAAUUAUGCCAAAGGAAGAGCAAUAACCGGCAUUAGCAUACCAGCCUCGUCUCUGUUUCCCAAACACAAACAGCAAGAACAGCGAGCCCCCCGAUGAGAGAGGAUCAAAUUUACAUGUUUUUACUCUAAUCAAUACAGCAGGUAAACAACCCGGUGCAGGUCGGGUGAUCUACGCCCACUUUGACCUCCAUCUGCAUGAUGCUGGAUGGAAAAUUCAUCAAAUGCACAGACAGUCUGAGUGAACCCUGCAGUGUGAGGAGGUUAAUGAACUCAUGUGAGGACUGAUUUUUACUUUCAGACAGGAGCGGAGCGGUCAAACGUUGUUCUGGUGCAGAAAAUGAUCAUUAAGAGAAAACCUGCUCAUCAUGUAACCAGCUGACGACGACAGCAGACCAGUGUAUUAAAGGAGGAAAUGAGCUUCAGGUCACAUGUUAGGACACCUUCUUAGCUGUGAGAUGUUGGAAAGUUUUUGCUUUGAUUAAGUUUCAUGACUUUCUUAAACUUUAAUCCACGCUGUAGUCGGCGGCUCACAGAAAAAACUAAUGAAAAACAGCUGAAUGCAGACUGCUCUUAUUAAACAUAAUUAGAAAAACUAAGUGAUUUAUGUAACAGGUAUUAACAGCUGUUGGUUUAUAAUAUUGUACUAAUUUGAUGUAUUUGUUGGCGCAGUUUAGCAUCUGCAGCACUCGAGUCUACGAUGAAUUUCCCUAAGGGGACGAUAAAGUGUAUUUUAUAAUAUGGUAUUAAAUUGAACCUAAUUAAAUCGAAUUGAAUCAUACUGUACCAGAUCAAAUCAUAUCAUAACGUAAUGUAACAUUUUAUAACAUAUCAGAAUCAUAUUAUGUAUCGCAUCGUAUCUCAUUGUAAGGUAACGUACCGUAUUGUAUCAUAAGCUAUCUUGUCAUAUUGGACUGUAUCGUAUUGUAAUGUAUAGUAGCAACAACAUAUUGUAUCUCAACGUAAUUAUUGUAUCGUAACGUAACGUAACAUACCAUAUUGGUAUCAUAAGGUAAUGUAACAUCUUUUAUCCUAUUGUAUUGUAACAUAUUGUAACGUAACAUAACGUGACAUAACCUACCGUAUUGAUAUCAUAAGGUAAUGUAACAUCUCUUAUUGUAUUGUAUUGUAACAUAUCGUAUUGUACCGUGUUGUAUCGUAAGCUAUCGUGUCAGAUCCGAAUGUAUUGUAUCAUAAGGUAUCGUAUCGUAAUAUGUGGUAUCAGCAACAAAUUGAAUCCCAACAUAAUGCAUUAUAUCAUAAGGUAACAUAUCGUAUUGAAUGGUAUCGUAAGGUAAUGUAACAUCUUGUAUCAUAUUGUAUUGUAACAUAACGUACCGUUCCGUGCUGGAUCAUUAUGUAAAGAAUCUUGUCGUAAGGUGUGGUAGUGUUUUGUGUAAAAUGUAAUUGUGACAUACCGAAAUGUAUCACACUGUAUCGUAUUGUAUCAUAUCCUAUCACACUGUAUCAUAUCACACUGUAUCGUAUCGUAUUGUAUCACACUAUAUCGUAUUGUAUUGUAUCACACUGUAUCGUAUUGUAUUGUAUCGUAUCAUACUAUAUUGUAUCGUAUCAAACUAUCGUAACGUAUCAAACUGUAUCCUAUCGUAUCACACUAUAUUGUAUCGUAUCACACUAUAUUGUAUCGUAUCAUACUAUAUUGUAUCGUACCAUAUCAUAUUAAAAAAACUCAGAGAUCAGCUGCCCUUCUGUGAUCACUUGGUUGCCAAGAUUAUCACAGCAUCGAAGUCGUUAGCUUUAAUAAUCGUUAUAAUAAUAAAACAUUUUAUUCAUAGGUGCCUUUCAAAGCACUCAAGGUUACCUCACAAGACAAACAAAUAUAUAGUCCACAAAAUAAGUUGAAACAAUGGACAGUUAAAGUGAUAGUUUUUUUUUUUUCAUAAGUUUCAAAAAGAUCAAUCCCACCCGCUGUCCACUGAUUAUUAUAAAAAAAACAUGAUUCUGGCUUUAAGGGACGGUUAAUUCCACUUUCUCUUGUGCUGAUGCCUAUACUGGAUUUGUUUAGCCCCAGUAUAAGUAAAGAUUUUAGAAAACCAAACAAAGCAACAAGUCCUCUUACUUUUACAGCUCUGUACAUCCUCCGUUCCUCUUGUAGCGUUUCUUAUAUAACCAUCCCAACCGCAAC